GACGAACGCUGGCGGCGUGCUUAACACAUGCAAGUCGAACGAAGUGGCGGACGGGUGAGUAACGCGUAAUCAACCUGCCCUUCAGAGGGGGACAACAGUUGGAAACGACUGCUAAUACCGCAUACUGUAGGAGGGGAUUGCGUCGGAUUAGCUAGUUGGAGGGGUAACGGCCCACCAAGGCGGUGAGCAGUAGCCGGUCUGGGGGGGUGAACGGCCAAAUCGGGACUGAGACACCGCCCAGGACCCUACGGGAGGGAGCAGUGGGGAAUCUUCCGCAAUGGACGAAAGGCUGACGGAGCAACGCCGCGUGAGUGAUGACGGGCUUCGGGUUGUAAAGCUCUGUUAAUCGGGACGCGGUACCGGAAUAGAAAGCCACGGCUAACUACGUGCCAGCCGCCGCGGUAAUUC
rnacentral:rRNA from 1 species